GUAUAAACGAGACGUACAAUAAAUAUUAAAUGGGGAGAAGAAACAGCAAAAUAAACAAAAAAGGAGAAUAUAACAAUACUAUAAGUCAGGGUCUAAUAUUACUGUAUUAUGAUGAUUGUUUGUGAUGCAGGUCGGACGUGUUGUGGCAGAGGGAGAAAAACCAACCUGCGAGAAACCUCAUCGAUGGAUGUAAGGGCAGCAUUGGAUGCAUUUUGAUAAGGUAAUGGGAACACUGCAUGGACAGACUCCACCAGAUUGCUUUGCCAGAUUGCCAGUUUUUUUUAAAGUUUUAAAAGGCCAAAGUUGAAUGUGUGUAGUUGUAGCGUAAUUUGAAAGCCAUACAUAUGAUGUGCUGCCUGAAAAUAUGGAAUGCAUAUAUAAUCUAUCUACAUGUCUUAUGUCACUGUAUGAACUGUGAUUCACUUGUUUAUAAAGCUUUUUGUUAAUCUAAACUCUAUUGUAUAAUUUGCACCUUUUUUGGAAGCUAUGAUGGGGAAAAAUAGCUGCUAUAUCUUCAAUAAACAGUUGAGGAAACUAUUGUAUCUUGUAUUUUUAAGGAGGAAGCAUUAAUGUUUAAAUGUGCGUAAAAGCUGUCUGGAAUAUGAUAAAGACGUGGUUCAAGCUUUUUGUGUGUAGAACUUAGUCUCGUACCAGAACAUUUAUACUUAAUUGCACAAAAGUUGCAUGUUUUCUAAAAUAUAUCAAUAGGGGUAUAACAGAACAGUACAAUGCUUACAAAGUGCAAUAACACACAAUCAAGACUAAAGCUGAGA